GUCUGAGAAUGCUGUGGUCUGAAUGUCUGUGCCUCCCCAAAAUUCAUAUGCUGACAACCUACUCACCAAGGUGAGGAGAAUUGGAAGUGACUUUGGGGGGUGAUUAAGUCAUUAGGGUGGAGCCCUCUUGAAUGGGAUUAGUGUCCCUUCUGCCAUGGGAAGACUCAGCAAGAAGAUAUGAUCUUCUGCAGAAGACGCCGUGCUGGCCACUGCCCACUCCUUAACCCUGGACUUCACAGCUCCAGGUCAUGAGACCAUGAGAAAUAAAGUGUGUUGAUUAUAAGACUCGGGAUUAUGAAAUUUUCGUUACAGCAGAGCAGCCUGAAUAUGCAAAGACCAACAAUAUGCUGCAUUUUUCCUAUGAAGACUGUGGCCAGUCUUUGCUGUGAAAAAAUACUCUCUGGUAACUUUUCUGUGGGUCCUCAUCACACAAUUUGCCUCAUGUUGUACUGCGAUGAGGUCAGUGUUUUCUAAUAAUGAGAAAUUCUCCAUCUUCAAGGCCAGUAGCUAGUGCCCAGGGGCUACAGGAAGGACAUGUUGGUUUCAGCUGGUGACAGUCCCAUCCUACGGUAGCAGCUGGCUUGUCGUCUGAAGGAGCCAGGCUCAACAAAAAGAGAACUGUGAGCUCUUUGUGGGAGCCUUUGGGCUGCCCAUGGCCUAUGCUGAGCCCCACCUUUCUGACAUGAGGCCUCCCCAGGGCUCCUUAAGCUUCUAGAUUUUUCUCAGGAUUCCUCUGUGUCUGGUGUUGAAUAUGCUGAAUAUCAAUCUACAAUCAAUACAGUGUUGCCUGGAGGCACCUCUUGCUUCAAAUUUGCUUCACAAAUCUGCUGCAGUGACAGAAAGCUAAGACAGCUGCAGAAAAAGCCAACCCUGCUGAUUCCUUCAUCUUGGACUUGCAGCCUCCAGAACUAAAAAGCCAAAGUAUAAACCAUGAUAAAGGAGAGAGAAGAGAAGGAAGGGGCUUGGCAAGGAUCCGGCAGUGGAAUGGGACAGACUUUCAACACCUUGCCAUGCGAUCUUUCCCCACAAACUCCUGUGUGACCCACAUAUGAAUUCUCACUGAGAGACACAGACUGAAAGAGGCUUGGCCUGAAGAAUUUGCCAGAGGGCACAGGGAGCAUGGCUUAUUUCUUGGGAGAUGACAACAGGUCAAUUUGAUCCUACACUGUAGAAUUUUCUCCAGAUGAAAAGUGAGUUUUUGAACCUGCUAAUAGCAGCACCAUGGAAUGUUUUCAGUUAUUUUCAAUCUCCAUGUUUGACUACUUUAGACCUAGAAACAUCAGUGCUGGUUCCAGUUGGAAAGAAAUAAUGGAAGAGAGAUGUGAAGAUGCCCAGGUACUUGUUACAAAUAAAUUAAAAAUAAAAAAGAAACUGUCAUGUGGCCAGAUGAUCAACAAUAUAAUGGGUAUUUGAUUGAAGCUAGAAAUACUCUAAAUAGAACUGAAGAUUGCCCUUUAAAAAUUGAAAACAAAA
rnacentral:lncRNA from 1 species